AUGUUUUUUAGGGCAAAACGAAUUGAAGCUGUUUGCACUUGCCCUGGAAGCACCACCCACUCCAGACCCAGCCAUUUGGGGUAUUUUCCACUGGGUUUUGGGGCAUUGUACAAGACUUCCAAUAUUCUGUCUGUACAGCCAUCAUCGCGUUCUCCAUCAACCCCUCUGGGGCAGCAAAGCUGGAAGUACCAGGAAUUUGGGAUAUUUUUCCCCUAUUUGUGGUUUAAAAAUAAAAUAAAAAAAAAAAAAAAGCAAUUUGCCCAUUUUCUACAGAAUUCAACCCAAAACCCAACCGAAUCUGAGCUAUGUACACACAGCCAUGUCUAUACACACAGAGAUGGGAAGGGGCUUCAGGGGAGAUGCCGGCGUUGUCCUGCUUUCCUGGGAAACACCCAACGGCUCCUGGGGGACUCCAAGAGAAAAACAACCCCAAACUUCUCCCCCAAGAUCCCCUCCCCCAUGGCAGCCCCCCUGGCCGCUCCCCUUGUUUCAGCUGGCACCUCAAAUCCCCUAUUUUCCCUAUUUUAUCUCAUUUUGUCUGUUUUUUCUGCUGUCUUCCCCCGACGUGCUCUGCUCUUCCCACCCAAAUGGAGCUGUGGGAGGUUCUGUCCAUGGAUCCAGCACUUCUCUGGCCAGGAAAGACUCCCUGAGCCAACGCCGGGAGCUUUUUUGGGUUUAUUACUGGAUUUUGGUGGUUUUGCCUUUUUUUUUUUUUUCCUCUUCCAUGUAUUUCUAGCCAGCUCCCAGAGCUGGGCCGGGCCAGCAGUGAUUCCGCCGCUCUCCCAGAGUAGAAAUAAGGCUAAAUCACCGCAAUUCAGCCAAAAGAAAGAAACCCAAAGGAAUAUAUAUAUAUUUUUAUAUAUAUAUAUAUAUAUAUAUCUCUCAUCCUCUUCAAAAAUAAAAGGAGAGGUCCCGCGGCUGGACGCCGGUGAGUCCCGCGGAGGUGGGAGCGUUUUUCCCCCCAAAUCCAUUGUCGCCGUCGUGGUUUAUGGUUUUUCUCCGUGGCAAAGAACACAGGACCAGGAGGAUGGGUGGAUACAGCAGGAAUUCACCGGAAAGAGCUGCCUGAGGGUACAAAAUACAGUACGGACACAUCAGCCAUCGAGGAAGGACUAUUGCUCCCGUGUGAUUGAGUGA
rnacentral:lncRNA from 1 species